CUUACUUUUUCCUUCACUCCUGCUGCUCUUGAAUUGCAUCUCCCAGUAAAACCUUAGUAUUCAAACUUUGCCUUAGGCUUUGGGUUCUAGUUAGUUCAUGAAGUAGCUGUGAUGGCUAAUACUGAAUGUCAACUUGAUUGGAUUGAAGGAUGCAAAGUAUUAAUCCUGGGUAGGUCUGUGUGGGUGUUGCCAAAGGAGAUUAACAUUUGAGUCAGUGGGCUGGGGAAGGCAGACCCGCCCUUAAUCUGGGUGAGUAUCAUCUAAUCAGCUGCCAGCAAAUAUAAAGCAGGCAGGAAAACCUGGAAAGGUUAGACUGGCUUAGCCUCCCCACCUACGUCUUUCUCUCAUGCUGGAUAUUUCCUGCGCUCAAACAUCAGACUCCAAGUUCUUCAGCUUUGGGACUCAGACUCAGACUCAGACUGGCUUCCUUGCUCCUCAGCUUGCAGAUUGUGGGACCUUGUGAUCAUUUAGUGAACAGAAGGUCACACAAUGAAGAAAUUCAUAUGUCCUGAAAUGAUUCUACUGGGAACUGAAGCUAGAUGCUGGAGACUGCUCUAUGUGUCAAUUUCUCAUCAACCAACCUCGCUAAGAAAUUGAACAAGAUAGUUUAACCCUUUUCCUGUUUAGAAAAAAAAAAGUGCGGCUCGCUGCCAGCACUCAUUUAAUUUUAUAUAAACAUGCUCUUUGAGGCUGAAGCACAUCUGACUGGUUUUCAAUGUGAAAAUAAAAUAUAAAAACUGUUCUUGGAGUUAUUUCUAAACAGAACUAACAACAGAAUUGUCUAUUUUGGAAAAAUCAGGUUCAUCAAAUGAAUCUUUGGCCAACAACUGUUCGAGAAUGAUGCUAACAUCCUGUGUAGGAAUACUAUGUUUUCUAGGAUUUGACAUUUUUAGCAAUUUAGAAUUACUGUAUUUUGUAUAUGGAAAUACCACUACUAAAAACAGAAUGCUAUAGCUGUAAUCCCAGCACUCUGAGAGGCCAAGGCGGGCAGAUCACUUGAGGUCAGGAGUUCGAGACCAGCCUGGCCAACAUGGUGAAACCUCGUCUCUCCUGAAAAUACAAACAUUAGCCGGGUGCAGUGGCUCAUGCCUGUAAUCCCAGCACUUUGGGAGGCCAAGGCGGGUGGAUCAUUUGAGGUCAGGAGUUCGAGACCAGCCUGGCCAACAUAGUGAAACUCUGUCUCUACUAAAAAUACAAAAAAUUAGCCGGCCUUGGUGGCGGGCACCUGUAAUCCCAGCUACUCUGGAGGCUGAGGCACGAGAAUCGUUUGAACCCGGGAUACAAAGGUUGCAGUGAGCCAAGAUCGCGCCACUGGGCAACAGAGUAAGACUCUGUCUCAAAACAAACAAACAAAAAAACGCAGAAUGCUAUAAAUAGAAUGAUACGUUUUGUUUCCAAAGUUGAUAUACUAGAGUGAUGUGAAAAUAAUAAUAAAAGCAAGACAUUUAGUGGCCAAGUUAUCUCAGGGUAAAUGCUGCUGCUCUUAGCACUGCUGGCAAGUAUUCUCAGGGAAAAGGGGAAAGGGUUUUAAGUAAAGCUCCUAAUUCAAAGUAAGUGCUCAACAAAUGGUAGCUACUCCUACUAGCUGCCUAACUAUUAAAUGAAUAUAAUAAUUAUACUUUAGGUGAUAGUAAAGAUUUUGCACUGAGUCAGAGGAAAUAGUGAGAAUUUAUCUUAUUUAAGUUAAUGUUAAUACACAAAUUCAUUUUCUCCAUAAUUCACACGCCUUAUUCAUUGCAUUAGUAGAUUGCAUUUAAAAAAAAAAACACCACUUAGUGAUCUGAAACAGCUGAUGUACAGGAAGCUUUCUGAAUCAAGCUGACUCAGAAGGUGGCAAAACAACUCAGUGUUUGGGUACAGAACAUGAUUUCUAUUUUAAAUAUCUUAAUCCUUUAGACUUCAAUUUCUUUACCAGCCAGGAUUUGAGAUGGAAGGAGCAAGGAAAUUCAUCAAAUUGCCCUUCCCUGAUUCUCCAUCAAGUGGUGGAGCCAGGGGUAAAAAGAAAAAUUAUUGAUUCAGGUUGGGGCAAAAGUAAUCCCGCUUUUUGGCAUUACUUUUAAUGUCAAAAAAACUGCGAUUACUUUUGCCCCAACCUAACAGAUAACCCCCAAAUGUGUAUUUAACUACUGUGCUAUACUGCUUCCUACUUUAGGAUAAAGACAGGCCUGUGCUAGAAGUUCCCAACCAGCAACACUCCAGAAGAGCAACAUGGUACAGUGGUGAAAGGUGUGGCUUCUCAGAGCCUGCUGCCUGAGUAGGAAUCCAGCUCUGCCACAUGUGCUGCUGUGAAACCUUGGGGAAAUCAAUCUUUCUAUGCCUGAGCUUCCUUAUCCAGAAAAGGCGAAUGGAAACAAUACCUGCUUAUAAGUUCACAGGAGGAUUAAAUGCCUUAAUACAUGUAAACUGCUUAGAAUGGUGCCUGAUUAUAAGCGGUUGUUAUCUACCUUAUUGAGCAUAUGGAAAAUAUCCUAAGGUUUUAGGUUUUUUUCUUCAUCUGUUUCUUAUUAGAUCUAAAGAAACUUGCCCAUUUGCAACACAUUUUUUUCUUUGUUUUAAAAAUCUGGGGAUGUACCUUUUAUCUCAUACAUUGACUACUUCAAACACUGCUCAUAUAUGUUUUGCUGGAUUUUUUCUAUUUCAUAGGGAUUUCCAGUGAUUGAAGGAGAUACUUCUAAAUCAAGUUCUCUUUCCUUGAGGCCUAUAAACGUUAUUUAUCUUUGGGGCAAUGGUUCCAAAAUCACUAAACUUAAAAAAAGAAAAAAGAUUAUAGGAACUGCUUUGUAAGCUGCAGAGAACUGUAAAAUAGUAAGGCAAACUCUUACCCAGGGGAAUUGCAGUUUAUCGUGGAGCUAGGCCCAGCAUUUCAGGCAAAAAUUAAAGACAGUUAAAAUUACCCCUGAAAAUCCCUUAGAAUACAGGACAGUUCUGUUUUUCAGUAAGUUCACGAUAGUCACUUUUUUCUUCAGCGUUGGAAAAGAUCACAUUUCUUCCAUUGAACACUUGAUGAUGUGAUUGUCUUGUAUGUAAGCAUCUUUUGUAUGAAAAAAUAUAUACAAGAUAAACCAAGCAUUUUCUAUAUACCACCUCACUUACUCCUCAUAAUGACCUUAUGAAGUAUUAUUAUUAUUAUUAUUUUGGAGACAGAGUCUCAAUCUGUCGCCAGGUUGGAGUGCAGUGGCGCAAUCUCGGCCCACUGCAACCUCCAUCUCCUGGGUUCAAGGGAUUCUCCUGCCUUAGCCUCCUGAGUAGCUGGGACUACAGGCACACGCCACCACACCCAGCUAAUUUUUGUAUUUUUAAUAGAGACAGGGUUUCACCAUGUUGGCCAGGAUGGUCUCAAUCUCCUGAUCUCAUGACCCGCCUACCUCAGCCUCCCAAAGUGCUGGGAUUACAGGCGUGAGCCACCGUGCCCGGCCAUGAAGUAUUAUUAUUAUUCCUCUUUUACCUUUUGAGAACUGAGGCAAAGUAAACUCCUUGCCAGUGAUCACCAGCAGGCAAACUGUGGAGCAGAAUCUUGUUUUCAAUUCUCUUAGCCAUCGAAGCCCCUACUUUCCCUCUACAGAGUGCUCCCGUGGCCUAGCAUCACUGUUACAUGGCAUUGAGGGAUACAAGUUGCCUUUUCCUCUGCUCAAGACUGCUUAGUAUCUAUUGGAGGAAACACUGAGUUCAGAGCUCCUCAACUUCAAUUCAAGACAAUACGAAGUAACUGGAGACAGUCCAGAGAAGACUAAGGAACUGAUUUUUCUGAAAGAAGUCCCAAGAGGGAUUCUGUUUAAGAGUGGAAAGAUUUAGAGUGGAAUAGAAGGCAUUACUGGGUUUUAGGUCCAUAAAUAAGUGAUGCAAGGAAGCUGAGGAAGAAUCAGCGCUGGCAGCCUUCCCUGUUUGGUUGCAAUCCUCCUUGAAGAUGGGCUGGAUGGGCGCCCUACAAAGACAUCUUUCUAUCUGGCGAUUCUAGGAAUCCACCCCCGGACAUCACUAAUAAAUGUGGCAAAGUGAGAGAGAUCAGAUACACUCAGCUGAUUCCUGGAAAGCCUGUAUAAAGGGGGAACAGACAUCACUGUCUUCCUCUCAUUUAACGAUGAGGAAAUGAGACCCAGAGACACAAUUCACAGGAAAAGUGACUGUUCAACAGGAAUGUUUUCAGGCCAGGCAGCCCCAAAGGAGCUGCUUCACAUGUGCAGGGUUCUAAGGACGCUACUGAGUGAGAGAGGAUACCACUACCUACAUGCCAAGUGUCCAGACCUCCCCUCCUGGCCUGGAGGAAGUGCAAGGAGGGUACUUAGUCACCCGAAUCAGUGGGUUGGUGUGACGAGGGGGUUUGUCAGUUGUUUCUGAUGGCUGGUGCCAGCUACCUGUGACCACCGGACAAGCCCAUCUCCUCUAUAGAAAUAGGCUUGUGAAGGAGACCAAUUACUCGAAUUGCCUGGUCCAUAAUAAAGUCAGGAUCCUUUCUUGUGGCCUUGCUCUCUCUAAAGAGUUCUUUGUCUUUCAAUUGCUUUUAUCGAAUUAUACAUAUAGUUCAAGAUUAAAAAAGGAAAAAACAGAAGGCGUAAAAAGAUAAAUAUCACUUCUAAUAUCAAAGAUCAUAUAUUUAAUAUAUAUAAUUUUUCCUUAAGAAACUCAUAUAUAUAAAAGUCUAUCAUACAGAUAAUGGUAAUAACAACAAUAAUGAAAUAAACUAUGUGCCAGUUGCUGUGCCAGUGCUUAAUUUGCAUCACCUUGCUUAUAAAAGCCAACCUAGAGAGGAAAAGUCUGACACUUCCUCCAGGUCCAAUCUAGUAUGGCAUCUUUAAGGGGUCAGACACUUUUUUUUUGCUUUUCUUGAAAAAAAAAAAGAAGCUAAAUAUCUAAUGAUGCUUAACAUUUAAAUCAUCUUAUCAUCUUAAUUAUAGCCUCCGAGCUUGCGGUUAAUAUUAAAACCUAAGAAGAACCAAUGCAAAUUAACAUGAGUGAUAAGCCUCUGAUCAGUAAGGCCCCUCUGGGCUCUAAGAAUAUGAAAAUUCAAAAAUUGCCCACCCCACUUAACCACCAGGCCAAUGGUAAAAUUAGCAGCCUGAUCUCAGAACUGUUUCUAGAGCUUGUGUUUCAGCCACACUUUGUUUUGAUGAUCUUCUGUAAGAUCUACUGUUCUUUUUAGUUCUGUAAUUUUUAGUCUUGUAACUGUUGAGGGUUUUUGUCUUGUACCUGUUAAAGAUGAUACUGGUACAAAUAUUCUAUAAACAUUUAUGAAAGUUAUAACUUUAAAAAAG
rnacentral:lncRNA from 1 species